GAAAUAAUUCUGUCCUUUAUAGCAACCAUUUUGUACUUUGAUGAAGAUGCUCAUGUUAUGUGAAGAUCGUCUGGAGAGAAAGCAGCAUCUGACGUUAUUCCAUCUUCAGAAUGUGAACAGACCGACUGGACACUACUACAGAAACUCCACAGGUUGUUUUGGGUAAAAAAAAGUGAGAACCUAAGCAUGGGCAUUGUGCCUUUAACUUCAGGUAUUUGAGUUUACAGACCUUCAUUCAUUUGCUGUACCUAGAAGAAUAAGCCUAUAUGGAAUCUCAUGGAGAUCCCUGGGUUUUCCAGUAAUACAAUUAGGAGCAGAGCUGAACAUUUAUUUAUUUUUUUUUUUCGUGCAAGUAGUUUAUGCAGUUUCUCACUGUGGGUUUGAUCUGAACCUGGUGAUAGGGAUUGUUGAAAGGAAUGAGAGAAAUAUUAGAAAAUAAAUCACUUUGGUUUGGCACAUUCAUUUUCUUUGUCAAGUAACACUGUAUUUUCAAAUUAAACUUAUUUUAAAUAUUAAAAAAAAAAUGAAAAUCAUCAGUAAUAAAUGUGGAUUUAAAAAUGUAUUAACCCCAGAUAUAUUUUUUCUUACUUUUUUAUUUGUUUAUUUUUAUUUUUUAGCAACUGACAUCUGACAUUAU
rnacentral:lncRNA from 1 species